AGCGGGCAUUUUGCGCCACAUGGACGUCUGUCAGCACCAGUCAGCACGAUUCUCGGACUGCCACUUCCCAAAAGGACCCAACCCCUGUGUCACACAACAACCAAGAUGGCUGGCUAGCUAGCUAGCAAGGAGCUAAUCUCUCAGAGACCAGUAAAGAGGUUUUUUUUGCUUUCAGAGGUAAGCCAUUUACAUGGUUUACUGCAUGUCAUUGUGGAGAUAAAUUAACAGAAUUAACAGUUAGGCCUACUCUCGUAAUAUUUUAUUAAGGCCAUGGAUUUUGUUAAUUUUUUAAAACAAAGUUUGUCUGUUUGCUCGUUCUGUUUGAUCAAUUUGGCCUUACAUUUAUUGGAAAUAGUUUUGUGCUUGGUGGUUCUCCGUGACCGUGUAGAGACGGAAGCUACUACCGGGGCUCUAGACUGACUGCGGUCAUGCCAGCCGACUAAUCGAGAUCGGCGGUCAAGCCAGCCGACCCAGUUUUUUGCCGUACCUGUAUAUACUAGCCAUUACGGUAAUAGCGUCUCAGAACUAGUUUAAAGUAAAAGCAUUCGUCGGGUACAUACAAAAAGACAGUCAAUAAAAGUAAAUACUAUCAAAGGAAGUGUACGGCCGUUGUGGUAUUUACUUUCAAAAUAAAAGCCCACCAAACAUUCCAAUCUGAGACAUAUUACAAAUGAUUUUUGAUUCGAUUUAAAAGAAAAUGCCCUGUUAUUCCAUGCUCAUUUCACUUCAGGGUUAUAGUUCACAACCCCGUAGGGUCACCCAAGAAGUUCCAGAACAUUCUGAUGUGGAGUUUCAAAAUAAAAGCCCACCAAAAAUUCCAAUAUGAGACAUAUUACAAUGAUUUUGGAUUCAAUUUAAAGGAAAAUGCCCUGUUAUUCCAGGCUCAUUUCAAUUCAUGGUUAUAGGUCACGACCCCAUAGGGUCACCCAAGAAGUUUCAGAACAUUCUGAUGUGGAGUUUCAAAAUAAAAGCCAACCAAAAUGUCCAAUAUGAGACAUAUUACAUAUGAUUUUGGAUUCAAUUUAAAAGAAAAUGCCCUGUUAUUUCAGGCUCAUUUCACUUCAUGGUUAUAGUUCACGACCCCAUGGGGUCACGCAAAAGGUUUCAGAACAUUCUAAUGUGGACUUUCAAAAUAAAAGCCAACCAAGGUUUCCAAUAUGAGACAUAUUACAUAUGAUUUUGGAUUCAAUUUAAAAGAAAAUGCCCUGUUAUUUCAGGCUCAUUUCACUUCAGGGUCAUAAGUCCUUUUUCCAUCAAAAAGAUAAUGCGCUUUAAAAUGAUGCGCAUCAAAAGUUAGUGCGACAUAUGUGAUGGAAAAAGGGUUAUAUCGCUCUAACGCCGAUUUUGUCGAAGUUAAUUCGCUCUGCAGAGGUGGUUUUGGGAAAGUUCUAGCGACAUAAAAGUAAUGGAAAACGGCUGAAGCGAUAUAGAAUGUCGCGCAUGCGCAUUGUUGAUGGAAAAAUCAUCUAGCGGGUCAGAAAAAUGCGCUUCAACACGGGGCAUUGUGACACAAUUUUAAUUCACUAUAAUCAUUCUGUCGAUGGAAAACCGUUUAGGCGCUUCUUAUGUCGCUACAAAUUAAUUCGCUUUAAGAGUUAAUUCGCUUGAAAAUCUGAUGGAAAAAGGACUAUAGUUCAAGACCCCAUGGGGUCACGCAAGAAGUUUAAGAACAUUCUGAUGUGGAGUUUCAAAAUAAAAGCCAACCAAGAUAUCCAAUGUGAGAUGAUUUUGGAUUCAAUUUAAAAGAAAAUGCCCUGUUAUUUCAGGCUCAUUUCACUUCAGGGUUAUAGUUCAAGACCCCAUGGGGUCACGCAAGAAGUUUCAGAACAUUCUGAUGUGGAGUUUCAAAAUAAAAGCCAACCAAAGUUUCAGAAC
ensembl:lncRNA